ACAGCCUUCGGCUGUCCGGGCAUGCCGGGAGUUGUCGUUUUGCAACAGCUGGAGCAACACUGGUUUAGAAAAGCACUGACCUAGAGUUAAGCAGCAGCAGAGGUGUUUUUAAGUUACAUAUAUAGAGUGUAGACUAUUUUCUAUUUAAUUUGUGAAGUAUUAGGUCAGGACAGAUGUUUUUUUUUUCUUUCCAUUCACUGACAGCAAGAAGAUAUAUUGAAAACUGUAAGGAGUUGGAAAAAUUAUUAAGCAAAACUCAUGAAAAGUUUUCCAAAAGGUAGAGAGCCUGUGGUUCUUAGGGCAUGCUGGGAGUUGUAGUUUUGUACAUGGGACAUUGGAUGAAUGAAUGUUUGUAGAAACGGUGCCCCUUCCCGAUAAUUAUACAGUGCAGUAUGGCUGCAGUUUUGAAGCCAAAACCAGGUGUGAAUCAUGAAUGAAUUACUUAAUAUAAGGAACAGAUGCUACUUCUACUUAAUAUAAGGAACAGAUGCUACUUCUACUUAAUAUAAGGAACAGAUGCUACUUCUACUUAAUAUAAGGAACAGGCGCUACUUCUACUUAAUAUAAGGAACAGAUGCUACUUCUACUUAAUAUAAGGAACAGGCGCUACUUCUACUUAAUAUAAGGAACAGGCGCUACUUCUACUUAAUAUAAGGAACAGGCGCUACUUCUACUUAAUAUAAGGAACAGGCGCUACUUCUACUUAAUAUAAGGAACAGGCGCUACUUCUACUUAAUAUAAGGAACAGAUGCUACUUCUACUUUAUAUUAAAAAAUAAAUAAAAAAAGAGUAGAAGUAGCACCUGUUCUUUAUAUUAUGUAAUUUAUUUAUGAUCCACACCUGGUUUUGGCUUUAAUACUGCACUUUGUAAGAGCACCCUAAUAGGGCCGAUUAAUUCCUACAAACAUUCAUUCACCCGAUCAUUGGCCCGUGUCAGAACUACAACUACCAGCAUGCCCAUCUAUCGUUCUAUUAUAUAAAGUGCCUUUACUUUAUUCCAGUUACAGAAGUGUUUCCCAACCAUUGGGCCUCCAGCUUUCCGGGCAUGCUGGGAGUUGUAGUGUUGCAACAGCUGGAGGCACCCUGGUUGGGAAACCCUGAAUUAAUAGAAUCUCCAUAUAAAGCGUCUCCCCUUAUAUUUGACAGACAUUUCCUAAACCCAGAGGGGCACUGUGUAACCCCCUAUGCAGGCGGCAGGCAGACACGGCUGGAUUGCUGUUACCUCGUUGCCCAAUUAACUUGCUGAAAUUCCUUUACUCCGUUAUCUGACAAUCCAGACUGAGCAGAGAUUUUAUUUUUGGAUUAUAGUUGAUCUGAAUCUUGUUCUAGAACCGUCCAAUAAUCUAGAAUAUUUGAUAAUCCAGCGUCUGUCCCAACCCCCGAUAAUAGCAUCAGUAUGCUAGGCGGAGUAUAGGGGGCGCUGUUCUCUGGUGUCACAUGCUAUGCACUAUGUAUAUUAUAUAUUUUACAUGUGGAGAAUUUAAUAAAUCAUUUCUUACAAAUU